rnacentral:tRNA from 1 species
UAAACUUUAAGUUAAUUAAACUAAAGGUCUUCAAAACCUUAAAUAAGGAGUUCUUAAGUUUAA